AACGAACGCUGGCGGCGCGCCUAAUACAUGCAAGUCGAGCGAGAAGACGUAGCAAUACGUUUGUAAAGCGGCGAACGGGUGAGGAAUACAUGGGUAACCUACCCUCGAGUGGGGAAUAACUAGCCGAAAGGUUAGCUAAUACCGCGUACGCUCCUUGGACUUCGGUUCAGGGAGGAAAGCGAUACCGUGGGUAUCGCGCUCUUGGAUGGGCUCAUGUCCUAUCAGCUUGUUGGGAGGUAACGGCUCACCAAGGCUUCGACGGGUAGCUGGUCUGAGAGGACGAUCAGCCACACUGGCACUGCGACACGGGCCAGACUCCUACGGA
rnacentral:rRNA from 1 species